rnacentral:rRNA from 1 species
AGCAGCCGCGGUAAUUCCAGCUCCAAUAGCGUAUAUUAAAGUUGCUGCAGUUAAAAAGCUCGUAGUUGAAUUUCGGGACCGAUAUAUCGGUCGUGCCUCGGUACGUACUGGUAUUUUCGGUUUCUCCCUUCUGACGAACCUUGAUGUCAUUAAUUUGGUGUCUUGGGGAAUCAGGACUGUUACUUUGAAAAAAUUAGAGUGUUUAAAGCAGGCUCGCGCUUGAAUACAUUAGCAUGGAAUAAUGAAAUAGGACGUUUGAUUCUAUUUUGUUGGUUUCUAGGAUCGACGUAAUGAUUAAUAGGGAUAGUUGGGGGCAUUAGUAUUCAAUUGUCAGAGGUGAAAUUCUUGGAUUUAUUGAAGACUAACUACUGCGAAAGCAUUUGCCAAGGAUGUUUUCAUUAAUCAAGAACGAAAGUUAGGGGAUCGAAGACGAUCAGAUACCGUCGUAGU